UACGUAGGUGGCAAGCGUUGUUCGGAAUUAUUGGGCGUAAAGGGUGAGUAGGCGGUUUGUUAAGUCGGUCGUGAAAGCCCGGGGCUCAACCCCGGAGGGUCGACCGAUACUGGCAGGCUAGAGCACAGAAGAGGAGAGUGGAAUUCCCGGUGUAGCGGUGAAAUGCGCAGAUAUCGGGAAGAACACCCGUGGCGAAGGCGGCUCUCUGGGACGGUACUGACGCUGAGACGCGAAAGCGUGGGGAGCGAACAGG
rnacentral:rRNA from 1 species